AUUGAACGCUGGCGGCAUGCCUUACACAUGCAAGUCGAACGGUAACGCGGGGCAACCUGGCGACGAGUGGCGAACGGGUGAGUAAUGCAUCGGAACGUGCCCAGUAGUGGGGGAUAGCCCGGCGAAAGCCGGAUUAAUACCGCAUACGACCUACGGGUGAAAGCGGGGGACUCGCAAGGGCCUCGCGCUAUUGGAGCGGCCGAUGUCAGAUUAGCUAGUUGGUGGGGUAAAGGCCUACCAAGGCGACGAUCUGUAGCUGGUCUGAGAGGACGACCAGCCACACUGGGACUGAGACACGGCCCAGACUCCUACGGGAGGCAGCAGUGGGGAAUUUUGGACAAUGGGCGCAAGCCUGAUCCAGCCAUGCCGCGUGCGGGAGGAAGGCCUUCGGGUUGUAAACCGCUUUUGUCAGGGAAGAAACGCUCUGGGUUAAUACCUCGGGGUAAUGACGGUACCUGAAGAAUAAGCACCGGCUAACUACGUGCCAGCCGCCGCCGUAACAC
rnacentral:rRNA from 1 species